GAUGAACGCUGGCGGCGUGCCUAAUACAUGCAAGUCGAGCGAAGAGGGGAAGGGUGAGUAACACGUGGAUAACCUCCUAUAAGACUGGGAUAAAUUCGGGAAACCGGAGCUAAACCGGAUAAUUAUAGAUGGAUCCGCUCUGCAUUAGCUAGUUGGUAAGGUAACGGCUUACCAAGGCAACUAUGCAUAGCCGACCUGAGAGGUGGAGCGACACCACUUGAACUUAGACACGGUCCAGACUCCUACGGGAGGCAGCAGUAGGGAAUCUUCCGCAAUGGGCGAAAGCCUGCAGGAGCAACGCCGCGUGAGUGAUGAAGGUCUUCGGAUCGUAAACCUCUGUUAUUAGGGAAGCGGUACCUAAUCAGAAAGCCACGGCUAACUACGUGCCAGCAGCCGCGGUAAUUC
rnacentral:rRNA from 1 species